CGAAUCGGUAGACGGCUACGGACUUAAAUCCGUCGAUUUUUAAAAUCGUGAGGGUUCAAGUCCCUCUAUCCCCA
rnacentral:tRNA from 1 species